rnacentral:tRNA from 1 species
UUGCGAUGUAGUUUAUAGAAAAUGCUUAUUUUACACAUAGGAGAACUUGUUGUGAAGCUUUGCUAA